rnacentral:rRNA from 1 species
UACGGAGGGUGCGAGCGUUGUCCGGAAUCACUGGGCGUAAAGGGCGCGUAGGCGGCCUGAUAAGUAGGGGGUGAAAUCCUGCGGCUUAACCGCAGGGCUGCCUUCUAAACUGUCAGGCUUGAGCACAGUAGAGGCAGGUGGAAUUCCCGGUGUAGCGGUGGAAUGCGUAGAGAUCGGGAAGAACAUCAGUGGCGAAGGCGGCCUGCUGGGCUGACACUGACGCUGAGGCGCGAAAGCUAGGGGAGCAAACGGG